GACUUGUCGCCACAGUUACAACGAAUCAAUCUUAGUUUCUCAAAGGAAAACUAGAACUAAACAAAACCUGAGUUUCUAAGGCGAUGGCUACUGAGUUUAUAUCAAAAGGGCCGAACUAGGGUUGGGGGUGACCCGGAAGGGGGUGCCCACAACUUGGGCUUAAGGCACGACACGAUACAAGGCCAAGUUGGCCCAAAAUUAGUGAUGCAGCACCUUGUCGUGGUCACACAGAAUGAUCCAUGAAUCUUCUGGAGCUAGGACUAGAACCAAAAGAACAACGGUGUCAUCCCCGUUCCAACACAUCAAAGAACACCUCGUUUCAAUGUCGUAUGAGGGAGAUAUAGCUGAAACCGUGCAGGGGUGUCGGCUGAAUCCGAACUGAACGCAAUGACCGAGUUGGUGACAACUUGUAACUUGGGAAAGACCAUGACUCAUGUGUGUCCAGCAUGGCGAUGUCCUCAUCAUCCUUCCCUUCUUGAAUUGGAGUCGUCCUCGACUCCAUCCC
rnacentral:lncRNA from 1 species